rnacentral:lncRNA from 1 species
GGUUGAACAGCGCCACCGCCGCGUCGAACCCACCACCAGGCCCCGCCGACGGGUCCUCGUCAUCCUCCUCCUCCUCCUCGUCGGGGCGCUCGCCUCGCGCCGUGAGGAGCCGCCGGCGGCAGCGGAGGUCGGCGUUGCGCGCCCCGCCACCAUCACUACCACGGCAACUGCCACGGUGCCGUAGGUAAUAGAGCGACACGUUUGCACGAGCCGGGGUGGUGGGCAGCUGUCGCAGGCGGGGUGGCGCCCAGCCGGCGUAGAUGGGAGCGACAGAGCCGGAGGGCGCGAGCGCCA